GUGCUUGCUUUGGCAGCACAUAUACUAAAAUCGGAACGAUACAGAGAAGAUUAGCAUGGACCCUGCACAAGGAUGACAUGCAAAUUCGUGAAGCGUUCCAUAUUUUU